rnacentral:rRNA from 1 species
GACAGAGGUGCCAAGCGUUAGGCGGAAUUACUGGGCGUAAAGGCUCGUAGGCGGCCAACUAAGUCAGACGUGAAAUCCCUCGGCUUAACCGGGGAACUGCGUCUGAUACUGGAUGGCUUGAGGUUGGGAGAGGGAUGCGGAAUUCCAGGUGUAGCGGUGAAAUGCGUAGAUAUCUGGAGGAACACCGGUGGCGAAGGCGGCAUCCUGGACCGGCAUUGACGCUGAGGAGCGAAAGCCAGGGGAGCAAAGCGGG